rnacentral:rRNA from 1 species
GAUGAACGCUGGCGGCGUGCUUAACACAUGCAAGUCGAACGGUGAAGCAGGAGCUUGCUCUUGUGGAUCAGUGGCGAACGGGUGAGUAACACGUGAGCAACCUGCCCCUGACUGUGGAAUAAGCGCUGGAAACGGCGUCUAAUACUGGAUAUGUGAUGGGACCGCAUGGUCGGCAUCUGGAAAGAAUUUCGGUUGGGGAUGGGCUCGCGGCCUAUCAGCUUGUUGGUGAGGUAAUGGCUCACCAAGGCGUCGACGGGUAGCCGGCCUGAGAGGGUGACCGGCCACACUGGGACUGAGACACGGCCCAGACUCCUACGGGAGGCAGCAGUGGGGAAUAUUGCACAAUGGGCGGUAGCCUGAUGCAGCAACGCCGCGUGAGGGAUGACGGCCUUCGGGUUGUAAACCUCUUUUAGCAGGGAAGAAGCGAAAGUGACGGUACCUGCAGAAAAAGCACCGGCUAACUACGUGCCAGCCGCCGCCGUAA